rnacentral:rRNA from 1 species
GGCGUGGCUCGGUUAGCGCUUCCAUUUUUUCUUUAGUUUCAACGUGCGUCGCUCCUUCGGGGGUGGCGUUGCGUUCCUAAUCGUUUACUGUGAACAAAUUAGAGCGUUCAAGCAGUGUCUCUGCUUGAAUAGUUUAGCAUGGGAUAUAGAUAGACGUCGGUUUUAUUUUGUGUUUCUAAAGCUGGGGUAAUGAUUAUAGGGACAGUUGGGGUCGGUCGUAUGAAUCGUCAGAGGUGAAAUUCUAGGAUUGAUUCAAGACGAACUGAUGCGAAAGCGUCCGACAAGGAUGUUUCCGUUAAUCAAGAACGAAAGUUGGGGGAUCGAAGAUGAUCAGAUACCGUCGUAGUCCUAACCCUAAACGAUGUGGACCAAGGAUCCGAGGAUGUUAUAUGGAUGACUCUCCGGGCACUUUGUGAGAAAUCAUUGAGUAUUUGCACUCCGGGGGGAGUAUGGCCGCAAGACUGAAACUUAAAGGAAUUGACGGAAGGGCACCACCAGGAGUGGAACCUGCGGCUUAAUUCGACUCAACACGGGAAACUUCACCAGGUCCGGACACAGUAAGGAUUGACAGAUUGAGAGCUCUUUCUUGAUUCUGUGAGUGGUGGUGCAUGGCCGUUUUUAGUUGGUGGAUUGAUUUGUCUUGUUAAUUCAGAUAACGAGCGAGACCUCAUCCUGCUAAUUAGUGAUGCGAACGUGGGUGGCCUUCGGGUUGCCCUCCUGGUUCGUACGCAACUUCUUAGAGGGACUCUCGG